rnacentral:rRNA from 1 species
CGGCGAGUGAAGCGGCAACAGCUCAAAUUUGAAAUCUGGCUCUUUCAGAGUCCGAGUUGUAAUUUGCAGAGGGCGCUUUGGCGUUGGCAGCGGUCCAAGUUCCUUGGAACAGGACGUCACAGAGGGUGAGAAUCCCGUACGUGGUCGCUGGCCUUCGCCGUGUAAAGCCCCUUCGACGAGUCGAGUUGUUUGGGAAUGCAGCUCUAAAUGGGAGGUAAAUUUCUUCUAAAGCUAAAUACUGGCCAGAGACCGAUAGCGCACAAGUAGAGUGAUCGAAAGAUGAAAAGCACUUUGGAAAGAGAGUCAAAUAGCACGUGAAAUUGUUGAAAGGGAAGCGCUUGCAGCCAGACUUGCCUGUAGUUGCUCAUCCGGGCUUUUGCCCGGUGCACUCUUCUGUAGGCAGGCCAGCAUCAGUUUGGACGGUUGGAUAAAGGACUCUGUCACGUACCUCCUCUCGGGGAGGCCUUAUAGGGGAGUCGUCAUGCAACCAGUCUGGACUGAGGUCCGCGCAUCUGCUAGGAUGCUGGCGUAAUGGCUGUAAGCGGCCCGUCUUGAAACACGGACCAAGGAGUCUAACAUCUAUGCGAGUGUUUGGGUGUCAAGCCCGAGCGCGCAAUGAAAGUGAACGGAGGUGGGACCCCGUAAGGGUGCACCAUCGACCGAUCCUGAUGUCUUCGGAUGGAUUUGAGUAAGAGCAUGGCUGUUGGGACCCGAAAGAUGGUGAACUAUGCUUGAAUAGGGUGAAGCCAGAGGAAACUCUGGUGGAGGCUCGCAGCGGUUCUGACGUGCAAAUCGAUCGUCAAAUUUGGGCAUAGGGGCGAAAGACUAAUCGAACUAUCUAGUAGCUGGUUCCUGCCGAAGUUUCCCUCAGGAUAGCAGUAACGUAUUCAGUUUUAUGAGGUAAAGCGAAUGAUUAGA